rnacentral:rRNA from 1 species
ACUAGUCCUAACCCAAAAAUUAACCAACUAAACUAUAAAAAUCUAUUAAAUAAAACAUUUACCUUAUUUAAAGUAUAGGAGAUAGAAAUUAGCUUUUGGAGUUAUAGAGAUAGUACCGUAAGGGAAAGCUGAAAGAAUUAACUGAUAGUAAUAUAAAGCAAGGAUAAACCCCUCUACCUUUUGCAUAAUGAAUUAACUAGAAAAAACUUUACAAAAAGAAUUUAAGUAAAGUACCCCGAAACCAAACGAGCUACUAAUGAGCAAUUAAAAGAAUAAACCCGUCUAUGUAGCAAAAUAGUGGGAUGACUUGUUAGUAGAGGUGAAAAGCCUAACGAGCUUGGUGAUAGCUGGUUGUCCAGACUAGAAUUUCAGUUCAACCUUAAAUUUACCAAAAAGAAUUAUUAAUCCUAAUGUAAAUUUAACAGUCAUUCUAAAGAGGUACAGCUCUUUAGACAAAGGAGACAGCCUUAUUUAGAGAGUAAACUAUAAAUCCUACAUAGUUGGCUUAAAAGCAGCCAUCAAUUAAAAAAGCGUUCAAGCUUAACCUAAUAGUCUAGACCUAACUUAAUUCCACACUUAGUCAUGAACUCCUAACUACACAACUGGACUACUCUAUAAUUUUAUAGAUGCAAUAAUGUUAGUAUUAGUAACAAGAAAUAAUUCUCCUUGCACAAGCUUAUAUCAGAUCGAAUGACUCACUGAUAGUUAACAGACAUAUAAUUAUACUCAAAACCCUAUAUCCCUUAUUAUUUAAACUGUUAACCCAACACCGGCGUGCAUAUAAAGGAAAGAUUAAAAAAAGUAAAAGGAACUCGGCAAACACUAACCCCGCCUGUUUACCAAAAACAUCACCUCUAGCAUUACCAGUAUUAGAGGCACUGCCUGCCCAGUGACAUGCGUUUAACGGCCGCGGUAUCCUGACCGUGCAAAGGUAGCAUAAUCAUUUGUUCCUUAAAUAGGGACUUGUAUGAAUGGCCCCACGAGGGUUAUACUGUCUCUUACUUUUAAUCAGUGAACUUGACCUUCCCGUGAAGAGGCGGGAAUAAUACAAUAAGACGAGAAGACCCUAUGGAGCUUAAAUCUACUUAGCUUAAGCAUUUUCUAUUCUCCUCCCUAUAGGGACUAACAAAUCUGCCUUAAUUAAGCUCAAGAUUUUGGUUGGGGUGACCUCGGAGCAUAAAUCAACCUCCGAAUGAUUUUAGCUUAGACCUGACCAGUCAAAGCAUCUAUUCAUUAAUUGACCCAAACUUAUUGAUCAACGGAACAAGUUACCCUAGGGAUAACAGCGCAAUCCUACUUAAGAGUCCAUAUCGACAGUAGGGUUUACGACCUCGAUGUUGGAUCAGGACAUCCAAGUGGUGUAACCGCUACUAAUGGUUCGUUUGUUCAACGAUUAAAGUCCUACGUGAUCUGAGUUCAGACCGGAGAAAUCCAGGUCGGUUUCUAUCUAUUUAAUAUUUCUCCCAGUACGAAAGGACAAGAGAAAUGAGGCCCAUAAAACUUUCACGCCUUAGAGAAAAAUUAAUGAUACAGUCUUAAUUUUAUAAAUCAUUUCCCCACUUACCCUAGAACAGGGCCU